UACAGCAGCAAAGAGAAAGAAAUGCAAAUAUAUAAAAGAAUAAAGACAUAAUAUAAUAUACAGUAUAAACACAACACAAUGUUUAAUUACAAAGAAGAAAAAAGAGACCAUGAGUAAGUAGUUACACUAACAGACAUACUGCUCACAGGUAAUAUUGCACGGUUUUUAAAUUUCUGUUAAUGCAUGUGAUGUUUAAAUACUUUGUUAUAGUUAUAAUUGCAGUUAAACAGUAAUAACAGUGUGUAAUUAUGGUGACUGGUUCACCCAGGGUUCUUUAAGCAUUAGAAUGAGUUCAGUGCAGUUAAUAUUGUUGAUGUGCUGCAUCUUUUCUCAUCAUCAUUAUUUGAAGACUACAUACAGUCUGUUUUUUACUGAGAUCUCAUUACAGCCACUGGACCAAUCAAAUCAGACCACAGCUUCAAAUCAUCCAAUCAGGGGCUGACUCUAAACUUGGUUUUCUACUGAACUGUCUGAGUUCCUAACAUCACUAUCACUUUGUUUGUACAAGAACGAUGAUCACACUCUUUGUUGCUCUUUGCCUCUUAACAUCAGUGAAACCUUCUAACAUCAAGGAGAUUCAAGUUAAAAA